AAUAAACAUUUUAAAAACAGAAAUUUACUUCCUAAUCCCCCCAAACCUUUGAAUUGUUAUGUUCUAUGGUAAGAGUGAAUUAAAGUUUCAGUUGGGAUUAAAGAUGCAAUCAACUGUACUUAAGGAGAUCAACCUGGAUGAUCCAGGUGAACCCAAUCUUUGAGGUCGGAGGAAGGAGCCACAAGCCAAAAAAUGGGAACAGCAAGGGAACAGAUUCUCCUCAGAACUUCCAAAAGGAGCACAGCCCUGCCGAUACUUGAUUUUUAGCCCCGUGAGACCCAUUCUGGACUUGCGACCUCCAGAAAUGAACUCUGAAUAUCUACUAUUCUUCAAGGCAUGGUGUAUUUUUUUUUUUUUUUACUUCAAAUGAGUUCCUGAAGAAGGUGGAGUGCUUGCUGAAAGAUGAUGGAUACAUGUUGUAUUAAUUCCACUUUUAUAAUACCUCUCAUCUAUCCCCUCCAUUCCAUUUCCAUGGCUUAUUUUCCAAAGUGUCACACAAACUAUG